AUUGAACGCUGGCGGCAGGCCCAACACCUGCAAGUCGAGCGGCGCGGCGGAAGGGUGAGUAAGGCCUCGGAAUCUGCAUGGUAGUGGAGGAGAAAGUCCGGAAACGGGCGACAAUACAGCAUAAUAUCAGAUGAGCCUAGGUCGGAUUAGAUGGUUGGUGGGGUAAAGGACUACCAAGGAGACGAUCCGUAACUGGUCUGAGAGGAUGAUCACCAACACUGGAACUGAGACACGGUCCAGACUCCGACGGGAGGCAGCAGUGGGGAAGAUGGGCCAGUGGGCGAAAGCCUGAUCCAGCCAUGCCGCGUGAGUGAAGAAGGUCUUCGGAUUGUAAAGCACUGUAAGUUGGGAAGCGUGACCAACAGAGUAAGCACCGGCUAACUCCGUGCCAGCAGCGGCGGUAAUAC
rnacentral:rRNA from 1 species